rnacentral:rRNA from 1 species
UACGAAGGGGGCUAGCGUUGCUCGGAAUCACUGGGCGUAAAGGGCGCGUAGGCGGAUCUUUAAGUCGGGGGUGAAAGCCCAGGGCUCAACCCUGGAAUUGCCUUCGAUACUGAAGAUCUCGAGACCGGAAGAGGUAAGUGGAACUGCGAGUGUAGAGGUGAAAUUCGUAGAUAUUCGCAAAAACACCAGUGGCGAAGGCGGCUUACUGGUCCGGUUCUGACGCUGAGGCGCGAAAGCGUGGGGAGCAAACAGG